UUUUUUUUUUUUUUGGCCUUUUAUUAUUAUUUUUUCUUUCCGCCCCGCGCAGCCCCUUUGUGCCCCGUCCGUCGCGGCGCGGGGGGCUCGGGGCGGGGGUCCGGGGGUGGGGUGUGUGUGUGUGUGUGUGUGUGUGUGUGCAGGGGGGGGGACACGGAAAGUUUCCAGGCUCUCCUCGGGCACAGAAGUUUCUUUGUUCGGCCGGAGGAAGGCACUGAGCGGCUGCUGCUUCCAGACCUGCCCUGCGAAGCCGAGCCCUGCCAGCGCAGUGAAGUUCUGGGGCAACGAGGCGGUCCCGCAGGAGUUUCAUGAAUUGGAUGGUUUAGAAAACUCCGUGCUGCAUCCUGGUGAUUCUGUGGUCCGAGUUCAGAAACUGAUUCAGACUCCUAUGGUGUGAAUUGGCAGUGGUGGACUGAUUCGGAAUGUUGGCUUUGAAAGCUCAGGGAAGAAGCAGCAGGGAGAAGAAAGUAACACAGUGGUAAGUACCAUAUUUUUCUUUCUUUUACACUACACAAAACAUUAAAACAUAGAUCCUGUUCUUUAUUCGUACACCAUAAUAAUCACCUCCUAAGCACUUGUAUUUUACUCUGCGUGAGCUCUUGUUCUGAAUGAAAUUUUUUGUUUGUUACAAGUAUCGGUUUAAGAGCCAAGCGAAUUAUGCUUAUUUACAUGGUAUUGUGUGCUUAUGCGUAUGUAUGUGUGUGUGAGUGUACAUAUAGAAAAGAGAAUAUAAAGGAAGCUAAGCUGCAGGAGAGUAAUUCUGUUUUGAAGGUUAAAGUCCAUUAUUAAAUGUUUUGGUUUGUGAAGGAUUAGCAUUUCAUACUGCUUUUUAAAAUAAAUUUAUUUAGUUCUUAGAAAAGAUGAGCACAUUUUCCAAAAAAUUUUGGAUAAACAAUGCUUGAAAAAAAAUGCUUCAUUUACUUGUUGGGACUCUUCCCAUCCAUUUUUCUGGUUUGCAUGGGAGAAUAUUGUAUCACAUAAUUUCUCUCUUCUUCGUAUAUUAACCUUCUUUACAUAGAUAUUAUACUUGAGAGUAUUGAAAUUAAGUCAAAUACAGUUCAUUUUUUUUGUUCAAAGCUCUGGAAAGGAAAUGUGUUCAGAAUCAGUUUCUUCUUUAAAUGAUGCCAGUGUGGAUGGCACUAAGUUGAUUUUUGCCUAAUAUUUUAAGGGUG
rnacentral:lncRNA from 1 species